UGUGUACUCCCUCCAUUCCAAAAUACUUGACUUCCAUUUGUCCAAAAAUGGAUGUACCUAUAUACUAAAACAUGUCUAGAUACAUAUAUAUAUUAACAAAUAGAAGGCAUGUAUUGUGCAACGGAGGGAGUAGAAU
rfam:Triticum aestivum genome assembly, contig: Triticum_aestivum_CS42_TGACv1_scaffold_393372_5AS